rnacentral:rRNA from 1 species
UCGAGAAUUUUUCUCAAUGGGGGAAACCCUGAAGGAGCGACGCCGCGUGGAGGAUGAAGGUCUUCGGAUUGUAAACUCCUGUCAUUUGGGAACAAUUGUUGGCGAUUAACUGUCGUCAGCUUGAUAGUACCAGAAGAGGAAGAGACGGCUAACUCUGUGCCAGCAGCCGCGGUAAUACAGAGGUCUCAAGCGUUGUUCGGAUUCAUUGGGCGUAAAGGGAGCGUAGGUGGCGGGGCAAGUCAGGUGUGAAAUCUCGGGGCUCAACCCCGAAACUGCACUUGAUACUGCCUUGCUAGAGUACUGGAGAGGAGAUUGGAAUUUACGGUGUAGCAGUGAAAUGCGUAGAUAUCGUAAGGAAGACCAGUGGCGAAGGCGAAUCUCUGGACAGUUACUGACACUGAGGCUCGAAGGCCAGGGGAGCAAACG